AUGGCUCAGGAUGAACGCUGGCGGCGUGCCUAACACAUGCAAGUCGAGCGGAGACCUAGUGAAGUAGUAAUACGGAACAGAUCUUAGCGGCGGACGGGUGAGUAACACGUGAGUAAUCUGCCUUCUGCAGGGGAAUAACAUUGUGAAAACAGUGCUAAUACCGCAUAACAUCCGACUGGGGCAUCCCGGACGGAUCAAAGGAGCAAUCCGGCAGAAGAUGAGCUCGCGUCCGAUUAGCUAGUUGGUGAGGUAGUGGCUCACCAAGGCGACGAUCGGUAGCCGAACUGAGAGGUUGAUCGGCCACAUUGGGACUGAGACACGGCCCGGACUCCUACGGGAGGCAGCAGUGGGGAAUAUUGGGCAAUGGGCGCAAGCCUGACCCAGCAACGCCGCGUGAAGGACGAAGGCCUUCGGGUUGUAAACUUCUUUGAUCAGGGACGAAACAAAUGACGGUACCUGAGGAACAAGCCACGGCUAACUACGUGCCAGCCGCUGC
rnacentral:rRNA from 1 species